CAUGAGGUGGUCGAUAGUGACAUUGCUAUCAAUGUACUAACUGAUUAACGUGAUGUCAGAGGUCGCUAAAGAUAAUAUAGUGUAAGCGUUAUUAAAUGUGUAAGUUGAAAAUAUACCAGUGAUUUGAAGAUGUGGUUUUAUUAAGUUUCUACUGAUUGGAGGCCCUUGCCCUUUUACAACAGAUGGCGAUCCUUCAAUCAUCACAUGGAGAUUCUGCAAAGUUUUAACGGUUAAUGUAACUACAACAGCUGCAUCGUUCCACGAUGGAAAUUAGUUCGAUCAACGUGUGUGAUUUAUGGUAAAGGACGAUUUUUGUACAACACAGACAACAGUGUUAUUAUACAUCAUAACAGUUGUCGUGAUAAUUAAACUAUUACCAGAAGUAUAAGAGUACAGAACACCUUAAGUAUUUUAAAAACUGUACGCUUGCAAUGACUAAGCAUUUCAGAACUAGGUGAACUGAAGCUCAACCCUCCCCGCACAGAAUCUACACUUAUCAGUAUCUGUUAGACCUAAUCUCAUCAGGUGUUUCCUGAAGCCUGCAAGGAGCAUAGAUUUAGACAUUUUUGGGGAUUAAGUAAGUAUGGUAGCAACAUCUUCAUAUACCACAGAAAGACUACCAACCGGUGUUUGUAUUCCUCUUUGCUUAGAUCGAAAUACUUGAAAGAACUGAAACUAAGAAGUAGAUACAGUAUAACUUACAGGCACGUUAUUUUCAUUCAUUUUCAAUUUGUGAUAGAUUCAUUAUUUAUACUAAUGUUAAGCGUGCAAUUUUGAGCAGUGGUUAUUUGAAUACCACUAGAAGUGAGAGCUGGAGCCAACGCAGUUUUAGUGUUAUUUUUAAUAACAUUAUUAUUCAGCUGGUAUCCCCCGGAUGUACUCGUACUUAAUUGAUUGCAAUCAAUUAGUUCAAAAUUUUUCGCUUUUUUGCAAGAGAUUGCUACAGAUAUCCUUCAGCGGUGUUCGUAGAGUUCCAACUUACGUGUUGUUUUAAAGCAAGAAUGUCUCCUCCAAAAUUUACAAGUUAACUUGCCGAGGUUCUUCUGAAACUAUGACCAGAUAAUUUAUGGCAUUAGGAAGUUUUAGAAAUUUUGCAAUUUUUUUAGGAAUUGUAGCAAUAGUAUUUUUUCCAACCAUUUAGUUGAUACAUUUUCCUGCUCUAUAGCAGACAAAUAAAUGUGUCUGAUCUGUUUUAGAGCGUAGCGAUAUAUAUUUUCGAUAAAUGUCAAUAUAAUUAGAGCCAUCCAUGAUGUUACUUUUACCUUUUCUCCCUAAAGAGGAAAAGUACGAGGCCAGAAAUAUUCUGGGAAGUGUAUUUCUUUCUUUGGAUUAGAGUCUCUGUUAGUUUUUCCAUUUCAUAAGUUUGUUCCAACACACUUGCUGAAUCGAUGACUUCGGAGCAAUUUGCUUGACUAUCGGAAUAAAUCCCUGUGUUAUUUCUGAUCUAGCGUUAUUUUAGUGUAUAUUUUAAUUGAAAACAUUUUUGCCCAAGCCAGCUUUUGUGGUGAAUUUUCUACCAUUUGCGUACCAUUUAUUGAUAUAUCUCCUUAAAGUUUGGAUGGACUAUUUUUUCCCAGUCUUACUUCUUACUUGGUAUCAUCGUAAAGUAUUUUUUGAUAUUUAUUUUCUCAAUCAUAUCUUUAAUAGUAAAAAGCAUUUUAACAUUAAAUGUACACAGAGGGAUAAUAACUGAUAUCAUAUAUUUUUUAAAUUCUUUUAAAAAUCACUAUUAUUGGAGUAACAAAUAUAAAUUAACAUCCUAAUAGUAGUAACACAUCCCUAUCCAUUUAUAGGGUGUUUUCAAUAAAUAUUCGUUUCUGAGCAAAACUAUUUAUGGAAAUUGAUCAUCCAAAUAACUGUUUUAAUGGGAUUUUUUUAAUUUGAAACGCCGAAACACUAACACCUAACCUAAUCAAAUUGUACCAACAAUUCAACCUCAACUCUAACAUCUAGAAAUUCAGUUGAGGACUGCAACCAUCCCGGAAUUCCAUAGAUAAACUCCCAGUUUUAUCUUUAAUAUAUAAAUAAAUCUGAGUCGUUUUUAAUUUAUAUCUGCUUUUAUUCAUUGUGCUCUUUUUGAUACGCAAUUAAUGCGAAUUUACUAUUUUUUCAUUAAAUUUAUUUGUUGCUAACACUUUUUUUAUUGUUCAUAGCAAUAAAUAUUAAUUUGGAUGACCGUGUCCGAGGAUAGUUUUAUAUUGUUUAAUUUUUAUUUUUGUUUACGGGGCUGACCGUUCAUUUAAGUGUGACUUAAAUUUAGCCUUGCUAUAUUUGAAAUUCACUAAAAUAGAAAAAAUAAUGACUAAAAAUUGACUCCAUGUCAGAGUUUCUGUGUCAGAUAAAUCAAUCAGUACGACAAACAAUCAUUUGGAAAACAGAGCACAACAUAAUAAAAACUUUUUACUUCUUACGGCUGGUUUCAUAAUCUCAUCCUAAUUGGCAUUUAACUAAAGGUUCCUUUAAAUUAAAGUUCUUUAACUUAGUUUUUGAAGUGAAGUGGUCCCAUAACCGAUUUGUAACGGUCUGUUAAUUAAAGGCUCUUUUAAGGCGUUAAAAGAAGGUCGUAGUUCAAAAGGUACUAAGACAUAUUUUAUACUUUUUCAAUAUAUGUUGUUAGAAAAAAGAAACAAAAUGAAACGUAGAAGUGUGUGUUAAAGAAAGUUUGUUUUGCCACUAACAUUUAUUUUGGCUCGAACUUUGAUGGCGUGCUGUUGUGCCUAUUUAAAUUCUUCAAUUCAAUUAUUCGAUUCAACAAUUAUUUUUAUUAUUUAUAAUCGUAGGUAUUGAAAGUUUCACAUGAUUGAUGCACAAUUAUUAUUUUUGAUUGUAAUAAUUUUUUUAUUCAAGUUUAUUCUUGACAAUGAUUGCAAAAAGAGUUCGUAUUACCAAUUUUGGGAAAGAAGAAUACCUAAUAUUAAUUGAGGGCGUGAAGAAAUAUAAGGAUAUUAUUGAAAAUAAAGUAACAUUUUUUUGGAAAGAAAAGGUUAGACUUGAAAUGGAUCUUGAUACUAGUGUUACAUCGAGUUAAUUCACAUUCAUUCACUUUUAGAAAGAGGCAUGGAAAAAAGUGGAUUCAACGCGAAGGUCUCCAAGCUAAGUACGAAAACUUGUAGAGAGAUGCAAAGACUAAGUUAAAUGAGGUUUUGUAUGUGAUACUUUGUGUUUAGCAAAGUACAUCUAUUAUACUACAACUAAAAUCUGUUUUAACAUAAAAAAAAAAUAAUUUUUCCUUAGAUUUUUCAUUUCAAAAAUUUGUAGCAGCUAUCAGUCAAAUUAUUCGUAGUUGUAUUGAAAUUUAUGAAAUAGAAACAUAAAUUUUACUUGAUUUA